CAGGAUUUUACUGGGGACUGACCAUGGAGGCAGCUUCUGCCAGGCAUGUACCAAAAUUCCAGACUCCCAGAAAGAAAGCAGAUGGAGAUAUGUACUGUAGAAGAAUAUCGGGAAAGAGGGAUAGAAGUUUCCACAGCUUUAUGUAGGAUUAUCAAAGAAGACCUUAUUGGGAAGGGGACAUUCGAGCUAAAGCAGGAUGUGGAUUUGAAGAUUGUAUUAUCUGCAUUUGCCUUCUCAAAAUGAUAGGAUUGUCUGAAAGGAUCCAUACAAAGAAAAUGUGUGUGAAAUUGCCAUAGCCACCUCAGCCUUCAGCUACCACCACCCAAGAUCUUUCAGCAGCCAUCAGAAUCGAAGCAAGAGCCUCCAUCAGAAUAAAGGAU